CAGUCCGCGGGAAUACGGAGGAUCCAAGCGUUAUCCGGAAUCAUUGGGUUUAAAGGGUCCGUAGGCGGUCUUGUAAGUCAGUGGUGAAAGCCCAUCGCUCAACGGUGGAACGGCCAUUGAUACUGCAGGACUUGAAUUAUUGGGAAGUAACUAGAAUAUGUAGUGUAGCGGUGAAAUGCUUAGAGAUUACAUGGAAUACCAAUUGCGAAGGCAGGUUACUACCAAUUGAUUGACGCUGAUGGACGAAAGCGUGGGUAGCGAACAGGAUUAGAUACCCGUGUAGUCCCUGUCUCUUAUACAC
rnacentral:rRNA from 1 species